AGUCAGAUGGCCACUGCAAGGACCAGGAACAGUCAGUGCUUAGAGGAGGUGCCCAUGAGAAACAUUGAGGAGCCUCUGCUCCAGGUCAGCCUUCCCAAGGCAUCACUGCCUGGCUCUGUGGAAAGAAGGGAAAAUCAGUAAAUAUCAGAAAGGGGAUCACUGAGAGGGAGAAUUGCAGGUGGACAAGCCUCAGGCAGCGUUCUGUGGAACCUGGCAAAUCCUGACCCCAGCUCCUUGGGGGCCCAGUUGAGGAUUUGUGGACCCCAGCUCUGAUGCAGACCAAAAGCCAAAGUGCAGGGACAUCCUGGAGCAAGGAGAUCUGGAGAGCACUGCAGGAGCAGCAGAGUGGCAGAGAAACUCAAAGCAAAUAGGAUGUUUGUUAAUUUUUAAUUGAACUCUGGGACAGAAGCCAGGUAUCUGACAGAAACAAGGAUAUGUUUCAAAAAAGAGAGGCCACAGGUACUGGGGAUGAAUUUUGAGCUCUAAAGUGGGUGAUAAGCUCUUGGCCGACAAUAGAAAAUGUGAGGCAAACACAUGAGAAAUGUAUUGCCUGAAAAGAGACAUUCAUAAAAGUGUUUGAACAAAGGGUAAACAUCAUCAUGUUGGAGAUCU